rnacentral:lncRNA from 1 species
AGUAGCCCUAUGACCACCCCUAUGAGCUCCACUACCUCUGCCACUCGCACCUAUGGUAGCACCCCUACCCCUCACAGUUGGAAUAGGAGUAGCCCAAACCACCCGGUGGGGAUAGUCCAUAGCCACUAGCCAAUCUCAUCACACACAUAGCAACCUCUAUGACCAGUCUCAAUAGGAAAAGGUGCAACUGGGUUUGAACAGCCACCCUAAACUAUUGGACUAGAAGAUCUACCACUAGAACUCUGCAAAGCCUCCUGCACUUUCUUAUCGUGAUACCUACGAGAACCUCUAAAAUAUCUACCACAAGAAACCUGACCUCUAAACUCACCAAAAU